rnacentral:lncRNA from 1 species
GUUAACAUUCUGUCUAAGCUCCGCCCCACAGUUACCUGGCAACAGCCAGGAAGGCCUGACCCACUAUAAAAGGGGCUGCUUGCCCCCUCCUUGCUCUCUUGGUCUCUUGCCUUCUUGCUUCCACUCUGUCUGCCCCCCGUCCCCUUCUCCCCAUUCCCUUUCCCCACUCUCCACGUGCUCGUGGCCGGUCUGUACUUCUCUACUUGUUCUCUCUCUCUCUUCUCUCUUCUCUCUCUCUCUCUCUCUCUCUCUCUCUCUCUCUCUCUCUCUCUCUCUCUCUCUCUCUCUCUCUCCUUCUCUGCCCCUCCUACCCUCUUAACUUCCUUCCCCAUGCCCUUAAUAAACUCUAUUCUAUACUAUACCAUUAAUGUGGUUGGACCCUCAGGGGGAAGGGAUGCCUUGGCAUGGGCCCGCUGAGGCACCCCUUCCCCCACACCUCACCUCGCCUCUAUAGAAUAUAUCUCCCUUUUCUUUAUCUUUUUAAAAACACAUCACAGACCCUGACAGACAUGUCCCCUGGUGUUCAUCUGCUAGACCCUCUUUCUCCAUAUUUGUAUCUACGUGGACAACAACUCUCCGAAGUGAGAAAAGCAAUCACACAGGAGAAGGAGAAGGAGAAAAGGAGAAGGAGAGAAGGAGAAGGAAGGAAAGAAAGAAAGAGAGAGAGAGAGAGAGAAAGAAGGAAGGAAGGAAGGAAGGAAGAAAGGAAGAAAGAAAGAAAGAAACAAAGAAACAAAGAAACAAAGAAACAAAGAAACAAAGAAACAAAGAAACAAAGAAACAAAGAAAGGAGGGAGAAGAAGGAGGAGGAGGAAGGAGGAGGAGAAGGAGAAGAAGAAGAGGAAGAGGAAGAGGAAGAGNNNNNNNNNNGAAGAAGAAGAAGAAGAAGAAGAAGAAGAAGAAGAAGAAGAAGAAGAAGAAAUUAAUUUCUUGAAUUCAAAUAACUGAAAUAUUUGACUUUGGCUUCCUGGACACAGAUUAGAAAUAGCAAAUGAUCAGGGGAGUGGGGGAUAAUAUUCUGAAGGCUAAGCCACAGCAGGUGACAGCCUACCAAGGGUGAAUCCAGAACAACCCAGCAAAUAAAGCCGAAGUAGCUCCCA